AUAGAAUAUGCUUUGAAGUCGUUCUCUCCCGAUUGUUGCAUCGGUCGAACUUAUUUCAAGACAUUUCUUCGCCAAUGCUUUGCUGUUUUCGAGAAAAGUGUGUUAAUGUAGUUUAUUAUACAUGUAAAAGACACUCUAAAAUGAUCAGUUAGAUGUCUAACGAAUAGGUUAGAUUACAGAUCGAUCUCGACAUCAUGCACAGAAAUACGGAGAAACGUUUGUGAGAUCAUAUACGAGUGUAUUUUAUUCGAUAAUAGAUGGUUCCAAAUUAUAUGUACAUAUACAUAUACAUAUACAUAUACCUGUACCAAUUCCUAUACCUAUACCUGUACAUGCAUACAUACUUGUCAUGUGUGUAUUCAUAUCUGUGCGUGAGCCUAUGCAAAUGUAAUAUAUAUAAAUAUAUUUGUAUAUGUAUGUAUAUGUGUAUACGUAUGCGUGUGUAUGUAUACAUAUGCAUGUGUAUAUAUGUAUAUACAAUUAUGGAUGAUUCAAAACAAUUUUGCAUGAUGCCAGAUAGUUAUAGGAUAAUUAAUAACAUUUCGAAACCUAUCGACACAUUGAAAUUUAUGUAAUUUUCAUAGUGUGUCCAAUCGCAAGUACUUGGUCGGGAAAUAGUAUUAUAAUCAGCAAUGUCUGCCGGCAUUAGCUACAGGAAUCAAUGCGUUUUGUGUGCACUACGUAUUGUACAAUCGUUGAAAAGAUACUGCGCAAGGACUUGUUAAUGUCGGCCUGGUUCAGUAAGCAUUUUGUUUUUCUAUUUUAUUGUUUUCUCCUAUAGGGACUUGUUUAUUAUCUACCACAAUUCCGAUAAUAUAGCAAUAACACUGUCUUACUAUAACUUAUGUAAUUGUCUACUAAGAUCAAAUUAUUUAUUUAUACGGUUAAAGCACAAAAUCUUAAUGGAAGACGUAAUGGCUGUGAACAAUUUUGUAUGGAACACGAUAAAAAUGUACCAUAGAAGCAUUAUAACGCUCUAAGAAUGUGCUGUAAUAUUAUGUUUUAGAUGUAUGUAUGCGCGCUUGUGUGUGUGUGUAUAUAUAUAUACAUAUAUAUAUAUAUACAUAUAUAUGUCACAGCCGGAUUAAAGCUAGGUCUUAACGGGCCUAGCAUGGGUAACUAUGAAUCCAACCGCGGUUAAUAAAUCAAGCACACGUGGCUCUGGAUACCAUCAGAAGGCAUUGGCUGAAAUUCGUAAUUCGUUGUUGCCCUUCGCAAAUAUUGGAGGAGCGAGCGAAGUAGGUUCCAGUGCUGCGAGUACUAUAUCUACCUUAUCCACAACCAGUGGUAUUAGUUCUGCCUCUGGACUGAGUGGUCUCUCUGGUGCUUCUGGUUCUACCAUCGACAAAUCUGACCAACGACAAUUAUUAACACAAUUGUUAGCGAUGGGUUACUCCGAGGAAAUUGCAUUACGAGCUUUGAAGCUGGGCAACUGGCGUUUGGAUGCAGCUGUAGAAUUUUUGAAACAAGCACAAGGGGAAUCGUUAAAUGGACUUGGUAAAUUAAACACCAAACUUAUAAGGAAACCGAGUUUGGAAAGAGAAUUGAAUUUACAACGUGGCAGCCCCGCGUUGGAUAGCGGAGCUGGAAGCUCGCGAUCCGAUAGUCCUCAUCUGACGGAGCUUAGUCCGCAUACGCAAUUAAGCCGUCAAUAUUCUCCGAGUAAUUUCGUAGAACGAGAACCACCGCCACCUCCGCCUCCUAGAUGCAGUUCUACACCGCCACCACCGCCACCGCCUCACGCUCCGUACAAUCAGCCGAACGUGCCGACUAAUAUGCAGCAAAUGCUGAAGCGUAUGUCUCCUGCUCCGGUGGUUCCUACGCGACCACCACCAACCACACCUGGCAAUACCGGACCUAUUUCCACGUCGGUCAAUUUACCGCAAAGAGGUACAAGUCCGGUAUCGAGUUCAAACAAUAACUCGAAUAGUCGUCAACCGAUGAUCGUUCAAAACGGACCUCAGGUUCAACAGCAGCUCUCCCAGCAAAUACAAGCUCUCAGUAUAUAUCAGACCGGUAGUAGCAACUCUAAUACUCAAGUUGAACCACCGCCUCCGUAUCCUAUAGUUUCUUCUUCGUCGACUGGGCCGGUGCAACCACCAUCUUACAGUGUCUCAAUACAGAAUAGGCAGAGCCCUACGCAGUCCCAACAAGACUAUCGGAAAAGUCCAUCGUCCGGAAUCUACUCCGGUCCCACUUCGGCUGGUUCGCCGAGCCCCAUUACCGUCACCGCUAUAUCCCCGAGUACGCAAACUUCUAUGGCUAGACCUACUCCGUUGCAGGCAUGGGGCGCACGGCAGGCCAAGACACAGCCACCAAUAAUCAUGCAAUCGGUUAAGAGCACUCAGGUACAGAAACCCGUGUUGCAAACUGCUAUCGCACCAACUUCGCCGCAACCCAUUUCUACCACUAGCAAUACACCCACGCCACCACCGUCUUACGCUUCAUCUAUUCAGCAAAAACAGCAACAACAGCCGCAGCAACAACACCAACAUCAACACCAACAUCAAACAGUUCAACAGCAGCAACAACAAUCGCAACAACAACAAACCCCGCAACAACCACCACCGCCUGCAUACGCGCCAGUGAACAAUAUUGCAACAACGACCGGUAGCAAUAUGAAUGUAAGCGUUUCGGUAGGAGUACCGACCACGGAACCGCCAAGUUACGCGACAACGAUGCAAGCGUUAGCAGCGCAACGAGGUAUGCAUCAUCCGCUUCCGCCUCCUCCAUACGGAACUUCAACUACUGAAGAGCCUAGUGGAAUGCCAACCAUGGAGAACAAUGCGAGCCUGAGAUCGUCCCCGGUCGCGGCGCAUCAUCCUCCGUUACAAAGAAAAUAUUCACCCGCCGACAGUUGUCAGCACCCAAUGGAAACGCCAUCUUUAUCCUCGGUAGUGUCGACUUGUCUAAAUAAUAGGAGUAAUAAUAACAGCAACAGCAACAACGCUGCCAGCAACAAUGUUGGUUGCAAUAGUAGUGGUAACAACAACUGCGCCACUACAGUCACUACUACUGUAUGCACCAGCAGUACCACUGUUACCACCAUCACAACCACAACCACUACUAACAUUGUCGUGGCUGCUUGCAUCGGUAGUAACAACAACGGAAACGGAAAUAGUAAUGGCAACAACAAUGGUAACAAUAACAAUAACAAUAAUCAUACAACGGAUAACAAUGGGGCGAAAGGCGGUGGAGGUAGUACACUUUCACCUUACAAGAUUAAGCAUCAAUCUCCAAUACCUGAGCGCAAACACAUGAGUAAAGAAAAAGAGGAAGAACGCAGGGAUUGCAAAGUCCGCAAUUAUUCUCCACAGGCGUUCAAAUUCUUUAUGGAACAGCACGUCGAGAACGUGUUGAAGUCCCAUAAACAACGACUGUAUCGCCGGCUUCAGCUUGAAACGGAAAUGGCUAAAAUAGGUCUGAGUGCGGAAGCGCAGUGUCAAAUGAGGAAAAUGUUAUCGCAGAAGGAAUCGAAUUACAUCAGGUUGAAGCGGGCAAAGAUGGACAAGUCGAUGUUCACGAAAAUUAAACCUAUAGGAGUUGGCGCGUUCGGAGAAGUAACUCUCGUGAGAAAACUCGAUACGAAUCAGUUUUAUGCCAUGAAAACUUUAAGGAAAGCGGAUGUAUUGAACCGUAAUCAAGUUGCUCAUGUUAAAGCCGAGAGAGAUAUAUUGGCAGAAGCUGACAACGAAUGGGUAGUGAAACUCUAUUAUUCCUUCCAAGAUAAAGACAACCUGUAUUUUGUCAUGGAUUAUAUACCCGGUGGUGAUUUGAUGUCGUUGCUGAUCAAAUUCGGUAUUUUCAAGGAAUCACUGGCACGAUUUUAUAUCGCUGAGCUUACAUGCGCUGUAGAAAGUGUACACAAAAUGGGAUUUAUUCAUAGAGACAUUAAACCCGAUAAUAUCUUAAUCGAUCGAGAUGGACACAUCAAGUUGACGGACUUCGGAUUGUGUACGGGUUUUCGCUGGACUCAUAACUCCAAGUACUAUCAACAAAACGGUCAUGGGAAACAAGAUUCUAUGGAUCCCGCUGAUGACUGGAACAACGAGUGCCGUUGCAUUCAGUUAAAGCCACUGGAACGUAGAAGGCACAGAGAACAUCAAAGAUGUUUGGCUCAUUCGUUGGUUGGGACACCAAAUUAUAUUGCGCCUGAAGUACUACAAAGGACAGGGUAUACUCAAUUAUGUGACUGGUGGAGCGUCGGUGUAAUUCUUUACGAAAUGUUGGUCGGUUCUCCUCCAUUCCUUGCUAAUACACCCGCCGAAACACAAUACAAGGUGAUUAAUUGGGAGACGACUCUACAUAUUCCGAAGCAGGCGAAUCUUUCCGCGGAAGGUAUGGAUUUGAUAUUGAAGCUUUGCGUUGGUGCAGACCGUCGACUAGGUAAGAAUGCGGAUGAAGUAAAGAAUCAUCCGUUUUUUGCGAGUAUCGAUUUUGAAAAGGGGUUGCGCCGUCAAGUGGCGCCUCAUAUACCUCGGAUACAAUAUCCUACCGAUACGAGCAACUUUGAUCCGGUCGAUCCCGAUAAAUUACGCAAUUCUGGAUCAUCUGAUUCAAAUAAAUCUGACGAACUGUUGAAUAAUGGGAAACCGUUCCAUGGUUUUUUUGAAUUUACGUUUAGACGAUUCUUUGACGACGGUGGUGGUCCUGCGUACCCUAGUCGGAUAAGUUUAGACGAUAACGACAACCAAGGUCCCGUUUACGUAUGAUGCUAGGUUUCCAAGUUUUGCAAUCAAGUUUCGUACAUCUAUGAGACAUAAACUAAUGUUUCGCGAUGUUUCGCGUUCGAUUGUUCGAUGUUUGUAAAUAUUGUUCGAAAUAAUUUCGGCUCGAACGAAAUUAGAAUUGGUAUGUGAAAUUGUUGCAGUCGAUUCAAUGGAACACCAUACACCGUACUAUAAGAUUACGAAAACGAAAACAAAAACCUUCGCACUUGUCCCUUACUGCUGAUGUUGCGUUCGUCCAUGCGUUUCGUUAUUCCCUAUAUGACUUUAUUUUUCACCUUUCACCAUUCACCAUUCACCAUUUAUCUUUCAUCUCUUACUUUUUACUCCAUCUCACUUUACUUCAAUCUGCUCUGUUUUACUCUGCUUUAUUCCGCUCUAGUUUGCUUGAUUCUACCCUACAGUGCUUCACUCUGCUCUACUUUGCUUUUCUCUGCCCUACUUAACUCUACUUUGCUCUUCACUGUUCUUCUCUGCUCUGAUCUGUCUUUACUUUGGUUUACUUGGCAGUAUCGUAUUUUAUCCAGUUUACUUCUACUAUUUGACAAAGCUUUUUUCUGAAUCCUUCUCCAUUAAAUCCUUCACCAUUUAUUUCAUUUUCGUAUCGUAUUAUUCUAAAAUCACGACGAUGGCAGGACAGAAUUACGGGUCGUCGCAAAAUCUAUAAUUAUGGGCAUUUAUUGUGUGUUUAUAUACAAUUUUUAGAAUUUUAUUAUUAGAAUGUGAUGCAAUAUAGCUUGGAGUAAGAUAGGUUUUAUAGUUCUGUGGUCCUUCAUAAAACUGUAUGAUUUCUUGAAAACGUUUUCCAAUUCGUUUACGGUGAAUCGUAUAUAUAUACAUAUAUAUUUACAAUUUCAAAUACUAAUAUGAACAUAACAGUCGAUUGGGAGGAAAGAAAAUAAAUGAACGAUGGCUGGUGUAUAUCUAUGUAUAUAUGUGUUAUGCAAAUAUGUACUUGCCAUUCUCAUUUGAAUUGGUUUUUGUGCCUAUUGGAAACACAACUUUGUAUAUUUCAGUAAAUACUGUGAUAUUGCAGAUAAUUAGAAUAAUGUGGCUUUUAAAUGUAUUAACUUUAUUUAACUUCUUUCUUCUUUUUUACAUGGAAUGCUAUUAUAAAUAAUUGUUACUAAAUAUUAAUUAUUAUUGUAUAGACAUUUGAAUGGAUGUAAUGUGUUCAUUGUAUAUUUUAUGCAGGUUUUAAUCGUCAAAUCUUUGUUUCUUUAUCUCUUCCUUCAUUCUCUCUCUCUCUCUCUCUCUCUCUCUCUCUCUCUCUCCCCUUCUCUCUCUUUUGUUCGCUGACUCACGCACUCACACAAUCACCCAUGCCCCUCUUUUCGCUGUUGGCUCGCUACAAUUUCGUUCUAUUCGCAUCUUUACAUUUCUUAGUUUUAAAAAAUGUGUUAAGUAGCCUACAGACGCUGCAAUUUAUCUUGUCACAUGCCUCGCGUUAUUAGAUCUCACGUGAGCUAAUUGUUGGACUACAUUUUUCUUUUAUGAAUUGUGACAUCUUCUUUUGCAAUAAAUUUUCACGAAGACACUUAAAUUACUUAAAUUACAUUUUGCUAUUUAAUCGGUAUGCGCGUUAGUCCAGUCAUAAGUUAUAAUAUGAUGCGACCACCUCAUGAUUUCACGUGAGACCUGUCUUGUAAGACAUGUUUCCAGAAAUUUUUCAUCGUCUUUAGGGCACUUGAUGGAUUCACUAUUGCGUCACAUACUGUUUUCGUUUCGUAUGUCUUUUGCGUCUUUUCGGAAUAACUGCAGACAAUUACGUGUAAGAAACUUUUCCGAAUAGGGUAAAAGACAGGCGGUUAGAGAGAUCGGAUGCACAGAGAGAUUGUUAAUAUAAAUCAUGUAAAAACGCAAAUGAUUAAUGUAAUGAAAAAUCGCUUUAUUCAUAGUUUUACGUAAGAGAGUUUUUAUUAUUCGUAAACUACAUCCUAACAAGUAAGACUUCCUAAAUAUAAUUGUACCGAAGAAAUUGAUCGAAUCUGUUGACUGUAAUAUUUAUAAUAUGGCUGUUUCAAUUUCAGUGAGAGUAUCAAAUUUCCUGCAGAACGGAACGGUAACACGAGAUAUACAACCCUACUUUUUAUAUAUUUUUGCAAAACACAUUAUUUCUUGCUUUCUUGUUUAACUUUCGUGUACUAUUUUGAAAUUAUUCGCGGGUCCCGACUGAUACGAACAAAAGUCAGACUUUCAUGUUUUUAUGUAAAUAGGAUAUUUUUAUUCAUUAAAAUCUAUACUGCCGAUUGAAUUGGUUUCAGUUGUUACAUGCUUCUAAUUGUGUUUGUCAUUGUAACUACAAUGUGGCCUACAGACGACGAGAUUUAUCUCGAGACACAUCUCGUGUGACCAGAUCUCACGUGAGCCAAUCCUUGAACCAGUCUUUUCAUUUAUGAAUUGUGUGUAAAAUCUUCUCCUCCUACUUUUUCUUCUUCUUCGACUGAUAGAGCAAUUGCUGCAACAAUUACAAUAUUUCCUUGCGCUUGCACACUCUGAAACUCCAUUUUGGUGUUUCGACGUGUUACUAUGCGUGAUACCCGACGUGAAUAUUGAAUAUUCACUAAUCGUGAGAGACUAUAAUACGAUGGACCCCUCAUGGUUUCACACAAGACCUACCUGUGAGCUGUGAGACUCACUCACAUCCUGACGUGAGACCUGUUCGCAAAAACGUGUCUCUAGAUCUAGACAAAUCUUAUCGUCUGUAGACCACUUUACUGACUGUGAUUGUAAUCGUGAUUGUGAUUGCCGUUUCGUCUUUUUCGUUGUCAUCAGAUGAAAAUUUAGAAUUUGAUCAAAUUUGUUCAUUGCUUGAAUGUUGCUGUGAAGAGCAACUUCGAUGUAUCCACUUUAUCUAGCACAAAAUAAAUUACUGAAAAAAAGAAAAUUGAAGCGAGGAAAAUAAUAAAUACCAAAGGGACUCACUAUUGUUAUCGUAAAAAUAAUUCUCCUAUGCUACACAUAAUAAUAGCUAAUUUUAUUAUUAUUCGUGUACAUAAUUUGCAUAUGUAAGUUUAGUCUAUAGAUAUGUGUACGUGAAAAUGGCACAAGAAUCGAAGGAAGAAUAACUAAAACGAACAUUCUGUUAAUAGCUCUUGUGUUAUUUAUAACAGGUAUUGCAAACAAUCGAUCGUGAAACUAUACGAAACGAAAUGUAACGAAACAAACGAAUUCCUGCACCGCGUCUACAUAUUUUAUACACUUGUCAAUCGUUGGAAGAUCGUUUCAAAUGCUUCCUUUGAUAAAUUUCAUCCGAUCAUCGCAUUAACGACCUGUUGCACUCUAGAACGAUUGAGAUCCAAUGAUAAUUUAUAUGUAUGAACGAGUCUAUAAUCUAUACAGCGAUACUAAUAAGUGUUCCUUAACUCUGUUAACACGUUGCGUGUCUUUAUAGAUAAUUGUUCUGUAUAGUUAAUUAGAUUCGAAAGAUGUUUCGAAAAUUUGAAAUCUUUCUUACUGUGAGGCUGAGAGUUUACUACAAAAAUAAUAUAUCGAUACUAUAUUAGUUAUAUAAAAUAGUAAGUUCUGAAUAAAUAAUAUUUUCCAAACUUGACUGUGAAAUAAAAAAGUCAAAUCGUAGUUAGGAAACUUUGUAAAUGAUAGGCAGACAACGUGUUAAACUCGACAAUUUAAUGAUCGAUUUGUCGACAUUACUCACUACGUACUGACAAUAAAAUAUUUUUAUACCUUUAUAUGUAUAUAUAUAUAUUUUUAUAUAUAUACAUAUAUAUGUAUGUACAUAAACAAUUACAAUUAGUUUUAAAUAUUAUCUGCGUAAAACUAUAACAUAUUAUGUAUUCGUUGAUUAAACUUUGCGCCAAGUGAAGUUCGGCUGGAUUCGGCUCAUCUCUCGUAUUUCGUAUCUCGUUUCUCGUUUCUCGUUUCUCGUUUCUCGUUUCUCGUCUCUGGUCCCUCGUUCUCGUCUCUCGCCCCUCGUCGCUCGUCUCGCCCGGCCAGGUCCGCCUCCAUCCUACCUCGUCUCGCUUUGCCUUGAUUCGAUACAGCGUGGCAUUGCAUUUUCGAAUCUAUUCGACUUGACUCGAUUCGACUAGGCUAGAACGACUAAUUGUAACGCGAAUGUUCUUGCUUAGUUUCAUUAGUUUACAGAUUGUAUGUAACGCAAUUACAAUAUAAUAUAAAGAUCUGUUAACUUACACGCGAAAGAAAGAUGAUUUUGAAUUAUGUAUAAUGUAUUUGGUUGUACAUUUUGUAACAUCUUCUCUUCAGCUUUUGUAAUUACGACAUCGAAGCAAAACAGAGAGGCGUAUACAUAUUGUACUGUAUUAUGACAGUUUAAUAUAUCGAAUUUUUGUAUAUACUUUCAAUAAUUACUUUAAAUUAAAAGUACAUUCAAUGCUUA